GCGGAGGGCCGGAUGGCCGCUGGUGCCGCAAAGCACGAGAGGAAAGUCCGGACUCCACAAGGCAACGGUGCCGGGUAACGCCCGGGCAGGGCAACCUGACGGAAAGCGCCACAGAAAACAAACCGCCCCGCCGCGACCAUAGGGUGACCUUUGGCGAAACGGGGUCAGGGUGAAACGGUGGGGUAAGAGCCCACCGCGUCGCUGGCAACAGGGACGGCACGGCAAGCCCCACCGGGAGCAAUGCCAAAUAGGACCCCCGCGCGGGCAUGGUCCCGGCAACGGGAAACCGCCGCUAGGUACGCAUUGGCCGAGAGGGGUCGGGUUGGCAGCUGGACGCGCAUGGCAACAUGCGCGCUAGAGGAAUGGUCAUCGACGGGGGCAAACCCCUGAACAGAAUCCGGCUUACAGGCCCUCCGCGCAU
rnacentral:RNase_P_RNA from 1 species